GUCGAGCGCAGGAAGCAAGCUGAUCCCCUUCGGGGGUGACGCUUGUGGAAUGAGCGGCGGACGGGUGAGUAACACGUGGGCAACCUGCCUGUAAGACUGGGAUAACCCCGGGAAACCGGGGCUAAUACCGGAUAAUACUUUCUUUUGCAUAAAGGAAAGUUGAAAGGCGGCUUCGGCUGUCACUUACAGAUGGGCCCGCGGCGCAUUAGCUAGUUGGUGAGGUAACGGCUCACCAAGGCGACGAUGCGUAGCCGACCUGAGAGGGUGAUCGGCCACACUGGGACUGAGACACGGCCCAGACUCCUACGGGAGGCAGCAGUAGGGAAUCUUCCGCAAUGGACGAAAGUCUGACGGAGCAACGCCGCGUGAGUGAUGAAGGUUUUCGGAUCGUAAAACUCUGUUGUUAGGGAAGAACAAGUUGGAUAGUAACUGACCCAACCUUGACGGUACCUAACCAGAAAGCCACGGCUAACUACGUGCCAGCAGCCGCGGUAAUACGUAGGUGGCAAGCGUUGUCCGGAAUUAUUGGGCGUAAAGCGCUCGCAGGCGGUCCUUUAAGUCUGAUGUGAAAUCUCGCGGCUCAACCGCGAACGGUCAUUGGAAACUGGAGGACUUGAGUACAGAAGAGGAGAGUGGAAUUCCACGUGUAGCGGUGAAAUGCGUAGAGAUGUGGAGGAACACCAGUGGCGAAGGCGACUCUCUGGUCUGUAACUGACGCUGAGGAGCGAAAGCGUGGGGAGCGAACAGGAUUAGAUACCCUGGUAGUCCACGCCGUAAACGAUGAGUGCUAGGUGUUAGGGGGUUUCCGCCCCUUAGUGCUGAAGUUAACGCAUUAAGCACUCCGCCUGGGGAGUACGG
rnacentral:rRNA from 1 species